GGGCCGUUAGCUCAGUUGGUAGAGCAGCUGACUCUUAAUCAGCGGGUCGCAGGUUCGAGCCCUGCACGGCCCA
rnacentral:tRNA from 1 species